GAUGAACGCUGGCGGCGUGCCUAAUACAUGCAAGUCGAACGAGUUCUCGUUGAUGAUCGGUGCUUGCACCGAGAUUCAACAUGGAACGAGUGGCGGACGGGUGAGUAACACGUGGGUAACCUGCCCUUAAGUGGGGGAUAACAUUUGGAAACAGAUGCUAAUACCGCAUAGAUCCAAGAACCGCAUGGUUCUUGGCUGAAAGAUGGCGUAAGCUAUCGCUUUUGGAUGGACCCGCGGCGUAUUAGCUAGUUGGUGAGGUAAUGGCUCACCAAGGCGAUGAUACGUAGCCGAACUGAGAGGUUGAUCGGCCACAUUGGGACUGAGACACGGCCCAAACUCCUACGGGAGGCAGCAGUAGGGAAUCUUCCACAAUGGACGCAAGUCUGAUGGAGCAACGCCGCGUGAGUGAAGAAGGCUUUCGGGUCGUAAAACUCUGUUGUUGGAGAAGAAUGGUCGGCAGAGUAACUGUUGUCGGCGUGACGGUAUCCAACCAGAAAGCCACGGCUAACUACGUGCCAGCAGCCGCGGUAAUACGUAGGUGGCAAGCGUUAUCCGGAUUUAUUGGGCGUAAAGCGAGCGCAGGCGGUUUUUUAAGUCUGAUGUGAAAGCCCUCGGCUUAACCGAGGAAGCGCAUCGGAAACUGGGAAACUUGAGUGCAGAAGAGGACAGUGGAACUCCAUGUGUAGCGGUGAAAUGCGUAGAUAUAUGGAAGAACACCAGUGGCGAAGGCGGCUGUCUGGUCUGUAACUGACGCUGAGGCUCGAAAGCAUGGGUAGCGAACAGGAUUAGAUACCCUGGUAGUCCAUGCCGUAAACGAUGAAUGCUAGGUGUUGGAGGGUUUCCGCCCUUCAGUGCCGCAGCUAACGCAUUAAGCAUUCCGCCUGGGGAGUACGACCGCAAGGUUGAAACUCAAAGGAAUUGACGGGGGCCCGCACAAGCGGUGGAGCAUGUGGUUUAAUUCGAAGCAACGCGAAGAACCUUACCAGGUCUUGACAUCUUUUGAUCACCUGAGAGAUCAGGUUUCCCCUUCGGGGGCAAAAUGACAGGUGGUGCAUGGUUGUCGUCAGCUCGUGUCGUGAGAUGUUGGGUUAAGUCCCGCAACGAGCGCAACCCUUAUGACUAGUUGCCAGCAUUUAGUUGGGCACUCUAGUAAGACUGCCGGUGACAAACCGGAGGAAGGUGGGGAUGACGUCAAAUCAUCAUGCCCCUUAUGACCUGGGCUACACACGUGCUACAAUGGAUGGUACAACGAGUUGCGAGACCGCGAGGUCAAGCUAAUCUCUUAAAGCCAUUCUCAGUUCGGACUGUAGGCUGCAACUCGCCUACACGAAGUCGGAAUCGCUAGUAAUCGCGGAUCAGCACGCCGCGGUGAAUACGUUCCCGGGCCUUGUACACACCGCCCGUCACACCAUGAGAGUUUGUAACACCCGAAGCCGGUGGCGUAACCCUUUUAGGGAGCGAGCCGUCUAAGGUGGGACAAAUGAUUAGGGUGAAGUCGUAACAAGGUAGCCGUAGGAGAACC
rnacentral:rRNA from 8 species